AUUGUCACCGGCGCUAAUACAGGCAUUGGUAAGGAGACAGCUUUAGAUUUUGCGAGAAGAGGAGCAAAAGUUAUUUUAGCGUGUAGGGAUCUAGUAAAAGCUCACAAGGCGAAAGAAGAAAUAGUGGAAAUUACGAAAAAUAGAAAUGUGGUGG